rnacentral:lncRNA from 1 species
GAAUCUUACUUGAGCAGGUCUCUUUAUUGGCUUAUGAAGGUGCUUCCUUGUGCUAGUGUGUUGGUAGUGGCGCCUGCCAGACCAGACCAACUCUGGGACAGGACUCAAAGAUACUGAAAUCUGCCUGGCUCCAAAUUCUUUCUAAGCUAGAAGAGGAGAAACCAGAGGGCAUGGGAGGUUUGAGAAUAUUCAGCUUUGUUGCAAACCUGGGUAGAGAUCACUUCCCUUUGUGCAGGUUG